AAACCAAUUUUAAUAGAACCAGAUCAUGAACUAUGAACAUGGAUGUUUUGUUCAGAAACAGUUUGAGUAACUAUGGAUCAAUUCAGUUUUUUUUUGGCUACUUUUUUCUGUGGAUUGUGGAAAGAUUGUUUUUUCAUAGAUAUUUGAUUUUUUGUUUUGGCAUUUAAUGCUUUAGAAACUUAAUACUUCAUCGAGUUUUUAAAUUUGUGGUUGACAGCUUUACCCACAUAAUCCACAAAACUUGUUAUCCCUCAAAUAAGAAUAAAUCACAUAGUUUCUUUAAUUUUUUGGCCUUUUGAAUACUGUAUAAAAAGUGGCUUAUUUUUCUAACCCAUAUAUUUUUGCUUAUUUUGCAAUUGAAAUGAAAUCCCUAAAAUAUUGCUUUAACUUUAGAAUAAGUAACAAGAACAAGAUAAAAAAAUUUGCAAAAUAGUUUUGCCACAAAAUUUGCCAAAUAAGAUACUGUGUAUGGAUUAUUAGCCGUGGGAUACCAAUAUUUGUGGAUUUCCUGUGUGCAAACCAGCAAAACAUUAAAAUGAUGAAGUACUAAUCUUCUAUAAGAUUGUAUGCACUUUUUAAAAACCAAGAAAUCACAUUUACAUAAAAAUACAAAUUUUUCCUUAAUCCAGGAAAAAAUUGGUACCCAUGAAAUUUAAAUGAAUCCCCAGUAUGGGAAAUUAAACCACUUUCAAGUAUUCUUCUGCUGUUGUCUGUUCUAUGGUCGGGUUGUUGUCUCUUUGACACAUUCCCCAUUUCCAUUCUCAAUUUUAUUCAUAAUGAUAUUAAUCAUCUGAGACCAAAAAAACUACCAUGGCAUAAAUAUAUAUAAUUAAUGUUUAUGUGUUUAUAUGGAAAUGUUACAUUUAUGUUGUUAUUUAUUAUAUUGUCUUUUUUUAAUAACUUUAAAAAGAUGGCAUUUACUUGAAAAGAAUCUAUGACAAAUCACCCCACUGGCAUAUCACCCCACUUAAUGAAAAAUUGGCCAUCUUUUGUUUACCAACUCGCCCCUCUUAGGAAAAAGGGUAAAAUCCCAUUGAAAAUACAUGCAGGUUGGAUAAAGUAUGAAGGGCUAAUAUUCCUCUGAAAUAAGGUUUGCCCCACUUGUGAAAAAUAGAUAAAUCCUGAUGAAUUUAGUAAUGCCAACUCUCCCCAGUUAAUGCAAAAGAUGCAAUCCCGUUGUAUAUCUAUGUUCCUGUCCCACUUACAAAUAAGAUCAAUAUCUAAGAAAACCUUAGAUAAACAGGUUUUUCCCGUUUGAAUGGUUUUAAGCUAGUCAUUUUUGGGGCCCUUUAUAGCUUACUUGGUGUGAGCCAAGGCUCCGUGUUGAAGAAUGUACUUUGAACUAUAAAGGUUUUUCUUUUACAAAUUGUGACUUCAAUGGAGAGUUGUCUCAUUGGCACUCACACUCUUCUUAUAUCUAUUUUGUAGUUCUGUUUUUUUGUUGAAAUAAAGCAUAAAGAAGUGAUUAACAGUAUUUUUGUGACCUGAAUGCCAACUAGCCCCACUUGUGAAAAAUAGAAUAAUCCUGAUGAAUGGAGUCUUGCCAACUCACCCCACUUAUGAAAAAUAGAAAAAUUCUUAUGAAUUAAGUCAUGCCACCUCAUAGUCAAUAAAUGUAAUUUAAUAAAUUUUCAUUUUUUAAGUGGGGCGAGUUGGCAAACCUGGAAAUUAUAUAUUCAUAUACCUUUUUUUUUAUUAAGUGGGGUGAGUUGACAGGUGAAAAAUAAACAGGAUUUAACCCUUACCACAAGUGGGGCGAUUUUUACGAGUUGGUAAACCAGUUUGGGGCUAGUUGGUGAAAAGUGAGACGAUUUGCCAGUGGGGUGAUUUGUCCUGCUUCCACUUGAAAAUCAAUCACACUUCUAAAUGUAGAAGACAAAUAAAAUAUGAAAUAAUAAACAUAAAGUUUAUUUGACAAUAUUUUUUAGAAAAUUAUUUUUCAUCUUUUGUAAAAGCUGAAAAAUUUAACACUAUAAAACGAAAUUUAUUUUGAAAUAUUUAUCAUUUUUUUCCCUUCAGAAAUUCCAGAUUAAGUUUGUGUCAGGAGUAAAAAAUGUAUGUAAAUUGCUCUUUAAGUGAUGUCAAAAUAUAUCUCCCUUUUCACAGACUCUGACUAACUGACAGUAUAUUUCUCAUCACCAGCCACAACAUUCUCAGGUUUAACGAUCAGUAUCUAGGCAAAUAUAGGUUUAUAGUAUAUUUAUUAAAAAUUAUAUAUGAAUGAAAACAUUAUGUCACGUUAUAUUGCCAGAUUUGUUAAAAUACUCUCCAAUUAAGUGUACUUUUGUAAUUUAUCAAUGGACUUUAAAUGUCAACUUCAUGAUUUGCAAAAGCAUUUAUUGCAUUUAUUGAUAAAAUAUUUCAUUGACUGAUAUAUAAACUAUGUUUUGAAUGAAAGUUUAAGUACUCCUUCAAAAGUAUAUGCCGUUUUCGUGCUAAGGAGGAAUAUAAGAGAUAUCUGAAUUAUUAAAGUGUUCAUUGCUGUUAUAGAAAGCAACUACCGGGUACUUAACCAUAUUUCAAUAGACAGUAAUUAUUUUAAAGGUCAAGGAACAGUAUAUGGGCUUUAUGAUAAUUAAAAAAGGCAAAUACCAGUAAUAGUUCAAACUAGUACAAUAGUGUUAAUUUUAGCUGUUUCAUGAAUGAUUUUUGUUUGUAAAAUUUGUUUUGAAGUGCUGAGCAUGAUAUUUUUUAUAUUGUUGAGUAUUGUGUAUUUUGAUGUGAACUGCUCAUUGUGUAUAAGCUGUAUUUUGAAUAAGAUGAAUGUAUUUCGUGACAAUUCUUAAUAAAUAUGAAAUCCAUUUUAUACUUACUCACAUCUCAUGAUUUAUUUUCCAUACAAA
rnacentral:lncRNA from 1 species